GACGAACGCUGGCGGCGUGCUUAACACAUGCAAGUCGAACGGAAAGGCCCUGCUGUUGUGGGGUGCUCGAGUGGCGAAGGGGUGAGUAACACGGGAGUAACCUGCCCUUGACUUUGGGAUAACUUCAGGAAACUGGGGCUAAUACCGGAUAGGAGCUCCUGAUGCAUGGUGGGGGAUGGAAAGUUUCGGCGGGUGGGGAUGGAAUCGCGGCCUAUCAGCCUGUUGGUGGGGUAGUGGCUUACCAAGGCUUUGACGGGUAGCCGGCCUGAGAGGGUGACCGGCCACAUUGGGACUGAGAUACGGCCCAGACUCCUACGGGAGGCAGCAGUGGGGAAUAUUGCACAAUGGGCCGAAGCCUGAUGCAGCAACGCCGCGUGCGAGAUGACGGCCUUCGGGUUGUAAACCGCUUGCGCCUGUGACGAAGCGUGAGUGACGGUAAUGGGUAAAGAAGCACCGGCUAACUACGUG
rnacentral:rRNA from 1 species